GGCUAAGUAGCUCAGUUGGUUAGAGCACAUCACUCAUAAUGAUGGGGUCGCAAGUUCGAAUCUCGCCUUAGCCACCA
rnacentral:tRNA from 3 species